rfam:Rhodospirillum rubrum ATCC 11170, complete genome.
GGGGCUGUAGCUCAGUUGGGAGAGCGCUUGAAUGGCAUUCAAGAGGUCAGGGGUUCGAUUCCCCUCUGCUCCA